rfam:Triticum aestivum genome assembly, contig: Triticum_aestivum_CS42_TGACv1_scaffold_591858_7BS
AUUGUACUCCCUCCGUCUGGAAAUACUUAUGAGAGAAAGGCAUAAAAAUGAUAUACCUAGAACUAAAAUACGUCUAGAUACAUCCAUUUCUCCGACAAGUAUUUCCGGACGGAGGGAGUACUAU